GAGUACCUUUAGAAGCGAUAGAUUUCGUGAUAGGAGCAAUGACAGGGAUUCAUUCAGAAAGGAAAAAGAUGGCCAGGAUGACUUUAAAAAGUCAGAUUGGGCUACUAAGCAGGAUUAUGGCAAGGGGUCUGCACAAAACAGCGGCAAGGACAACGGUAAAACAUCAUUUAGUACAUCAAAGCCAUCAAAGAAGUCGAAUGACUCUGCAAACCAGACUUCCUCCUUCAGUGCUAGUACCCCUACAAAUAAUUCUGACGAAGAUUUUGAUGAUUUUGAUCCUCGUGGGACUUCAACCACCACCACCACAAAAGCUGCUGCACCAAGCCCCAAUGGGGUGGAUCUUUUUGGAGACAGUUUACUUGGAGAUCUCAUGGAUGCCCCAACUCUUGUUCCUCCUGGAAAGGCAGACAGCAGUUCUCCGGAGGUUGAUCUGUUUGCAGAUGCCACUUUUGUAUCAGCUUCAGCGCAAGUGGAAAAGGAACCCAGUUCCCCGUUGAAGGCUACUGAGGUUGAUUUGUUUGCUUCGCAACCUGCUUCAGUUUCUGCAACGGUCGACUUUUUUGCCUCUCCUGAGCCAGUGGUACAAAAAGAAACCGACUUUGCUAGUGCAGCAAGAGACAGUAAAGCUUCACAACCUGCAUCAGCCUCUACAACAAUUGACUUUUUUGCUUCUUCUGAGCCAGUUGUGCGAACAGAAACUAACUUUGCGGGUGCAGCAAGAGACAUUAAAGCUUCACAACCUGGUUCAGUUUCUGCAUCAAUUGACUUUUUUGCCUCUCCUGAGCCGGUUGUGCAAACAGAAACCAAGUUUGCCGGCGCAGCAAGAGACAGUAAAGCUGUGGAUCCAUUUGCUGCCCUUCCACUUAACUCUUUUGAUGGAUCAGAUCUUU
rnacentral:misc_RNA from 1 species